rnacentral:rRNA from 1 species
UACAGAGACUGCGAGCGUUAUUCGGAUUCACUGGGCGUAAAGGGUGCGCAGGCGGCCAGGUGUGUGAGGCGUGAAAGCCCGAGGCUCAACCUCGGAAUUGCACCUCAAACUACAUGGCUAGAGUACUGGAGAGGGUAACGGAAUUCACGGUGUAGCAGUGAAAUGCGUAGAUAUCGUGAGGAAGACCAGUGGCGAAGGCGGGUCUCUGGACAGUUCCUGACACUGAGGCACGGAGGCCAGGGGAGCAAACGGG